GGUGACAAUUAUUUUUUAGUCCACGCCUAGCAUGCCCAUUCAAUUAAUAUAAUUCCAACUCAUUCUCGAUUAACUAUCAAUACAAAGAAUAAUAAAUUAUUAUUAGAUUUCUAUUUUCAUAGUUCUAAUAUACUAAUUACUCUAAAUCCCAAAUUUCUCAAUUCUAGCUAAGACAUGACUAAUUAAUAAAUAAAGAUUUAGAGAUUAGAGAGUCAAUCCCCUUGCUCAAUAUCUUCUAGUCCAAUUAAUCACACCUCCAUACAAAAUCAGUAUCGAUCAUCAAAGAAAAUAGGCA
rnacentral:lncRNA from 1 species